rnacentral:lncRNA from 1 species
GGAGCCCCCCAGUUCCGCAGCUACGACUAGCGGAAAGCACAGCAUCGACAAAGCCAUACCCGGAAUACAUAGCCCCGCCAUAUAAUGACCCGUUGAUAUAGCUUCACACACAGCUGAACUCCGAAGAAGACAAGACAACACCAACCCACAAACGAACACAACUUGACUAUUAACUAGAUAAAGAGGGAGGAGAGAGACGAACUGAAUCCAUUGGGCUCCAUGAGCAUCGAUUGACAAGCUACAAACCAGAUCCGAAAGAACAUCUAAUCCCCAUAUCUGAACCGGCUCAAACCACCACCGCGA